rnacentral:lncRNA from 1 species
CAAACAAAAAAGAGUGCAUAUCAAAGCUAUUAUGUCAUACUUAUAUUUACCUAAAAGAUAACAAGACAGUGUAUAUCGCCGAUAACGUUUUUACAUUAGAGUGUAUUUCUAAAUAUUAAACAACAAUGGGUGGAAAAAUAUCAUUCCCAAGAAUUCCAAUUAGCAAGGACAGAGUUGUAGUUGUAACAGGUGGAAAUACAGGUAUGUACGCAUAAACCAGUUCAAAGGUACAUUGUCAAUACUAAAGGUUGCUGACUAGACUUACUUUUCACACAAAGAAAUCGAUAAAUGACAUUAUGUAUUUCAAAAUGGUUUCCGUUUUAAACUUGAUAAUUUUCAUUUACUUGUUUGUCAACCUUUCUCGAUUUUCAGAAAUAAUCGUAUCAGUUUUUAGAGCGAUCAAUUGAUGACUGAUUAAAGUCUGGCGAUAAAUGCUUGUUUACAAAUAAACGGUCCACAAGUAGUUUUUACUUAGUAUUAUUCUCUUAGAACACAUCAUUCUGUGCCGAGCGGACCAGUCUUUGAUCUAUCUCCUAUGAAUCUCCUAUGUAUCAUGUGUAUCGCGUGUAUGGAUGAUAUAAUAUAAUAAUGAUUCUAGUCUUAUGUUAGACAUGGCCAAGUAAAGAUUUUGGCGCAAUACCUUCUCGUUUUCAAUGAAAGGAAGAUGUAGGAUUCAAGUUGAAUUGCAACCUUAGAACACCCCAAUAUGGUUUCAAACAAUAGACAGGGUCUAUCUGAUAGCUCCAGCUCUACGUCACUUAGUGUAUAGGAAAGCUGUUCUGUUUUAUUUUAAUAGAUACUAUUAAAGAUAUGCUAUCAACAUCAAAUUCCACAAAUUAUAAAAUAUAAACCUUCAUUCACACAUGAUAAAAGACAAACAUUGAAGAGGUUCCUGGCUUGGGAGAGGCCUUUACCAUUUGACCGGUUAAACGUGGGUUAUUCUAUUUUUAUCUCAACCUCCCCUUUUCAUAAUGUACAUAUCAAAGGUACAUACAUGCCUUUCCUCGCUAUUUAAGAUAUCGUAUUCUAGAUUUCUAUUUAUCUUAUGGUAUAUGUUUUUCUGUUUUCUCAUACACAAAUUUACUGUUUUUCGGUAGGUAUUGGUUAUGAGACAGCAAAAUGGAUGGCGAUGUUAGGGGCAUCUGUAAUUAUAGCCUGCAGGUCAGAAAAAAGAGCUCUGGAGGUAAAGUGAAAUAUCCAAAUCGAAAAAAAUCAUAAUGUCCUACAUUGAUUGCAGCAGUUUGAGAUAAAACAAUAACCAUCGAAAAUUAGUUGAUGUGGUCGUGGUAUGAAAGCAGUGAAAUAUAAUUGAGCACUCAGUCUUACUAAGCACUUUUUUGGCAAUAUGUCUGUAAGACGGGGUGGGGGGGGGGGAAUAAUAAAACAAAACAAAAAAUUAACAGGUAUUAAAAAUAAUGAAAUCAUAAAUUUUCACCAUUUUGAAGCUUCAGAUUUCUAUUGAACGAACACAUGGUGAACUCUUAGUAUUCGAAUGACUAAACAAUUGGUCCUACUAUAGUACUUAUGGAAAAUGCAGUUACUUAACUAAUGGGUUGAACUGUUCAGAAUUCAAAGAUAAUGUGUGUAAACUAUUAAGAAUGAUGUAACUGAGCAAACUGGACAGAACCAUUUAUGUGGCUGAAUCAAUUGGGCCAAACUGUUAAAAAUUUAAAUUACAGGCAAUCGCAAGAAUGAAGUCAGAUUUCCAUAGAGAGAAAGAACAGAAGACAGAAGGGGUUACACAAACUGACGAUAUAUCUGUAGAGUUUAUGAAAUUAGAUUUGAGUUCUCUUGAAUCGACUAAAGAAUUUACAGAUAAAUUCAUUGAUUCUGGGCGGCAACUAAACACACUUAUAUGCAACGCAGGAAUUGCUUUUCACCCUUUAGGUAUAUUUAAUACUAAACUUUAAAGAACACAAUAGUACAGCAACAAAAAGUGCGUUUUAGCUGCAUCUUAAAAUAAAGUUCACAUUUUAAGUAUACAUAUUGCAUUGCUUCGUUAUUCUAUAUAUAGUUUGACUAUAAUAGAUAUAAGAAGAUGUGGUAUGAGUGCCAAUGAGACAACUCUCCAUCCAAGUCACGAAUUAUUAAGGAAACCAUUAUAGGUCAAAGUACAUCCUUCAACACUGAGCCUUGACUCACACCGAACAGCAUGCUAUAAGAGACCCAAAAUGAUUAGUGAAAAACCAUUAAAAAAUGAAAACCAACGGUCUAAUCUAUAUACAAACGAGAAAACCUUAUGAAACGCAUCAACAAACGACAGCCACAAUCAUAUAAGACUGAAACCCGGCUCUAUAUAUAUGAACAAAGUGUAGUAGUCAGCCGAGAAACAGCUUAUUUAACAAAAUGCUCAUGAUUGCUGCCUUACUACGAAAAUUGUUUAUCCGCAAAAAGACGGACAUAAAACACGCAACGCAUAUAUAUAUACAGUCAUAACGAUAAAAGGACGAACAUCGGUGUUCCGGUUACUAAUUAGCGAGGUUAUAAAAACAAACUCUUAUUGUUGAAUUAAAUUUAUAUGGGAAUGACAGUCCUUUAUGGCACGCGAUUUUCAUAUUCAUUUAACGUUCAAUAUAUAUAAAAAUUGAUCAUAUAAAAGUUUAAAGAUAUGUUCUGAAUUCUAAGGAGACACCUUUUAUAUUUUAUAUGACAUUUUUUUUAAUAUUUUACAAGAUAUUUUUUAUAUUUUAUAAUACAUCUAUUACAUACAAUUUCUAUAUAUCUUUAUUUUUUAAUUUUUAAUAAUACUCUUAGAAGAUAUCUUACAAAACACACUUUAUAAGACAUCUCGCUAAAUAUAAGAUAUAUAUCUAAUGAAUUAUACGAGUUAUCUUACAUAACUUAUAAGAAAUCAUAUUAAUAAUAUUGGAAAUACGGAAAAAAUGGAACGGUUAUAAGAUAUUUUUCUUUUUUGUGAUAAAAUUAACAGUUCCAAAUUUUGUGCACUAGAUUCAUAUGAAAUUUUCUUUCGGUGAUGCUCGAUGGAACACGUUUAAUUUUUUUUUAAAUUAAUCAAUCGUGCAAAAUUGUCCAGAAACAUUACAUAUCUUUAGAAAAGAUAUUUUAUUAUAAAGUUCAAGGGACAUUGGACAAUUCUGUCCACUACUAGGUAUUAUAUUUAUCAAAUUCUCGGUUUUUUUCUUGCAUCUUUUAACAAAAUGGUAAGUCAAUUUUUAAACAUACUAGAAAGGAAUAUUGUUUUACUUCCAGAAUAUACAGAGGAUGGAAAUGAAACCAUGUUUCAGGUGAGGCUUAAAGAGUAUAUAUACGAUGUGAGUUUUGAUCACUAUUGAAGGCCGUAAGGUGAUCUUGGUUGCUUAAAUAUGUUUUAUUUUGACUCUGUUUGAUUAGCAAUCAAAAUAUCAACAGAAAAAUUACAAAGGCAGUGCACUGAAAACAUACCAGUCAAAUCCCAUUAAAACUAGAUGUUUUGAGCCGACCAGUAUCUGAAACUACAAAUAAGUGCUUGUCAUGGUGAAUAUGUCCAAAAGUAUCAAAUGUAGAUAUUAACUUAGUUUAUUGUUACAGGUAAAUUAUUUAAGCCAACUUUUGUUAACAUUCCAUUUGUUGCCAGUAAUGAAGCGAUCUGGUGACGAUAGCAGAGUAAUCCUUGUCAGCAGUCAUGGACAUAAUUUCCACUCCACUCCAUUUACUGUGGAUAAAAUACAAGGAAAGCAACACAACGCUGGUAACUUCCCUAGAUUCCAUUAUUAUGGAAACUCGAAAUUAUAUCAGGUAAAAUAAAAUAUAAACCAAGGCCAUACAUAAUUAACUAGUUUUCCAUCAUUAUAAAUUAAAAAGUAUAUAUUAUGUGAGAAACGAAACGAAACGGAGGCAAAUAAAUUUACGUUGUAGUAUCAAAAGUUUUUAAAAAAACUCAGAAAAUACUACCAAUUACCAAAUUAAAAAAAACUGUUGACACAGUGUUCUUUCAGACUUUUGUGAUAUUUUGAUAAUAUACUCCAAAUGUUAAACAGCAUUAUCCUGUACCUUAGCUUAUAAACUAUGCAAACCAUUCAAAGACAAUUCACCUUGACUGAAGGUGCAGGAACAAAUAACCCUUGGAAAGGAGAAAUGCCAAUGCUAAUACAACUACAACCCAAAUACCAAUGACUUAUCAUAAGCGAUUCCCUGCACACACUUCAGCAUGUAAACUUUGCAAAACUUUCAAAUAUCAAUGAACAAUGACUGAAAUAAUCUGGUAUAUUGAACCAAUUGAUAAAUUAUCUAAAUCUCAAACUUCCUAUAAAGACAACACAGCUUUUCUGAAAUAAAGAUUUAGUUCUGUCUUUUUAUCUCACUCCACAGAGACCAUUUCAUUUCAGAUUUUACAAAUGUAUUUUAUGAAUCGUCGGCUUGCUGAAAGUAAUGUGUGUGUGUUGUCACUACAUCCCGGAUUGGUAGACACAGAAGUAACACGAGGAUUUCAAGAUAAUUCAUGGAUGACUUGGGGAUGGAAAAUAGCAAGAGGUAAUUGCUACACAUUUUUUACCAAACAUGAGGCAGAAAAUAAGGUCAAGAUUUUAAGUCAUAUGCUAAUAUCAAACAAAUGUACAAACCCCAUAUUGCAUGUAAAGGCGUAGUUUGGAGAAACGUACGCAAUAAUGAAAAACAUGAUCCAUCGAUGUCAAUAAAAUCAAAAAUAAGCUACAUGAAUAUUCGACAGACAAGCGUGGACAUACUUUUGUUUCAAUGAAUGUAAUAUAUGUAUUACUGUUAAAUUAUCAAGUCAGGGAUUUUGUUAUCAAAAGUCACCUAAUAAAAUUAUUAAAUGUUUUCUGUUUCAUAGAUGUUAAAAUUUGCUCAGUAAAAUUGGCUUUAAGUGUCGUUUUUUUAUCUGUAAAACAUUGAUUUUGUUUUUGAAAAAAUGAAACAUAACUAGAUAUGUUUUGUUGCUAAUGUCCUACUUUCUGCCGAUACCUUAUAGGUUGCACUUUGUAAAUACAGCUGUUUCUCAAAACACGCCUCUUUUGGGGAGUAAUUGAAUAUUCAUAGAAAAUUCAUUUUGUUUACAUACUGGUUCCCAGUUAUGCUCUCUGUGUUCCAUAUCGCAGAGACAGAACUUGGGAAUGUUACCAGUAAAUAAACACGUGCAUAUUGUUUAUAUUGAAAUCUGUGGUAACCUUUCAUUCGAGGUAGGGGUAGUUAAGAAAAUUAGUGUAAGUUUAAACUCUGAGAAGUUCAGGGCAUAUAAACGUUGAAAAUAUGCCGCACAGCCCUAUAUUUUGACCUUUGAAAAAAUUGUGGUGCAUAUGAACUUUCAAUUCUAGGAUAAGAUUUUUUUCAAAACUUCAUAGUAAAAGUGGUACAGCUUUAGCCGUAAAAGGAGUUCCUAUGGGAAAUUGCAUUGUCAAUAUUUACAGAAAUGCAACCUAUACUUAUAUAAUGGCAUUGUGCAUACUUAUAUAUUGGCAUUGCACAAGGCCAUGUUUUCUCAUACUGUUUUUGACAUCUUAAUUUACACUAAAUUUGUUGGAUGUGUACUAAUUGAUUCUCAAGUCUGUGAGAUCGUGAUUUACAUGUAUUUAUUCUUUUUCUGUCCACAUCGGGACAACCUCAAAUGAGUAUUUAUAUAUCUGUCAUCUAUAUGUACAAUAAAUCCUUCACCAUAAUUGUACCAUCACCAUAUACACACUCAUCAGGGUUUAAGUUAGUAGUAAAUUUUAGUAGACUAGUAAUUGCUUUGAAUUGGCUUCCAUUUACUACAAGUAAACUUAAAACUGUACUUUCCCUUUUUUUUAAAACUAUAAUUCGGCAUUAAAAUUAAAAAGAUCAUAUCAUAGGGAAAAAUGCCUGAAGUUUCAAGUUGAUUGGAUUUCGACUUCAUCAAAAACUACCUUGACCAAAAACGUUAAUCUGAAGCGGGACAGACGGACGGACGAACAGACGAACGAACGGACAAACAGACGGACGAACGGACGAACGAACGGAUGCACAGACCAGAAAACAUAAUGCCCCUUAACUAUCGUGGAUGGGGCAUAUGAAAUGGGGUCACCGUUCAUUUAAACUCCAAUCUGCCUUCGAAAGAAGCAUACAUUUUUGUACAGGUACCUUUUUUCUGUUGACAUGAAACUGAUUUUUUUUUAGCUCCAUAAGUAUUUCAGGAUUUACAGAAAUUGAUAAAUGGUAGUCCCGUAAUAUUGAUGGAGCUAAUUGUUAAAGACUGUAUUGUGAAUUAUAGUGACAUCGACAUUGAACUAAAUGAAUUCUGAAUAAAGCUAAUAACCUGUAAUGUUAAUACAGUUUUCAGUAAGUCACCAGCCGAAGGAGCAGAAUGCACAUUAAAUGCAGCUAUCAACCCUGCUCUAAAAGGUGUGAGAGAUGUUUACUAUCAAGACUGCAAACCAAAGAAUACUCAUGAUGAUGCAAGGUUUGUUUUUACUAUUUCAUUAGCUACAUGUAGUUACGGUUUAGGUGGAUUUUCUGUAUUUUGCAAAAUAUUUUAGGAAUAUUGGUCCACUUUGCUCUUCAACUUCAUACUUUAUUUGGCCUUUUUAACUUUUUUGGAUUUGAGCUACCUGAUGAGAUUUUUGUAGACGAAACCCUUGUCUGGCGUAAAUAAAAAAGUAAUCCUGUUAUCUAUGAUGAGUUUUUUAAGCCUCUUUCCAUCAGCCCACUUUGGAUAGUCCUCUAAAAUUAAACACAAAAUUCAAAAGCUUGUUCAAUAAGUUCCCUUGGGGACUAUAAGUUUGCAUUAAGUCAGGAAAGUUUUCCACUUUUAUAUGUAAUGUUUCAGUCUAUUGGAUGGAUAAUGGUUAUGUAGUCAUAUCGUAAAACAAACUUUUUUUGAGAAUGAGUUUUGUCCUUGUCGAAUGACUUUUGCAGAAGUUGUGGCCCUUGGAUAUAAAACAAUUCUUGAAAAUAUAAGUUUUCAACUUUAUUUUUCCUUAAUACUGUAAUCAGUUGACUACACACUGGCCAAGUAUCAUCACAAGAAGUUUCAAUCUGGUUAAGGUUUUUCUGUAGUUAAUGGACAUAGGAAAUUGCUUGAAAAUGUUGGUUCCACAAUUUUUCCUGAGCCUGAAUAAAUUAAUAAAAGGUAUGGAUAUAUAGUCCUAUGAGAAGUAAGAUAGAAGUUUGUUUUUUCUUCUUGUCAGUUAAUUUUGUAGGACUUGUGCUAGCUUGUCCAAGAGUAGGCUAACUCAUACAAUGUAAAUCUUACAUCCCGAUGGGGACAUUUCUUGUAGUGUUUACACAUUACUCUCAGAAUGCUUGUUGAGUUAUAUACUGACAGUAUUUGAAAUAAAGUUCUGGCUACAUGUACUAAGAACCAUUGAAUAUUAAAAGAAAAUGUGGUCGGUAAAAACCUCAUCAUAAAUAUGAGGAUACAAAUUUUGAACAUUAGAUAGACCUUAAGUGACUCCUGUCAAACAGACAUAUACCUUGCAAUGAUUCUUUACUUGACAGGUCAUUUAUCUAUAAAUACUCAUAUAAACAGACAAACUAACCAAGCAUAACGAGUUGAACUGUGAACUUUGACUCUCUAUUGAUACCCUAAAAAGAGGAAGUGGAUGAGUGCUGAAAUGUGAACACUACUCAGCCUCCUUACAGUAUAGUAUACUCACAUGAUGCUUAAUACCAAAUUUAAGGAAUCACUGAUUUAAUUGAUUGAUUGAAUCCUUGUGAAUUAAGAUUUAAGUACAGUGCAUCCACACGAGCAGGGUCGCACUCACCAGAUAGUUCUUUUUUACACCCUCUGGUCGAUGCCACUGCUGGUGGAUGUUUCGUCCCCGAGGGUAUCACCAGCCCUGUGGUCAACAUUUCGGUGUUGACAUGAAUAUCAAUAAUGUGGUCAUUUUUAUAAAUUUCCUAUUUACAAAACUUUGAAUUUUUCGAAAAACUAAGGAUGUUCUUAUCCCAGGCAUAGAUUACCUUAGGCGUAUUUUGCACAACUUUUUGGAAUUUUGGAUCCUCAAUGCUCUUCAACUUUGUACUUGUGUGCUUUAUAAAUAUUUUUGAUAUGAGAGUUACUGUUGAGUCUUAUGUAGACGUCUGGCGUACUAAAUAAUAAACGGUACCUUUGAUAACUAUCACCACCUCAGUGUUGACUGGCUAAUGAUUACAGUAAUUGAACUACCUAAGACCACUUCACUAUGGUCCUCUGAUUUGAAGUUCCUGAGCAAGAUGUGACCAAAAUAUGAUGGGACAUGCUUUAAACAAAUCUACUUUGAUUGUUUUGGCUUACUGUUUACAAAGAAUAUGAGAAAAAAGAUGGGGAUGAUAAUGAGAAAUAUUUUUGUUUCUUUCAAUUCAGUGUUAAUUAUCAUUUUUUUCUUUUCUUUUUUAGGAACAAAGACAUCCAAGAAUCAGUACUAGAAUAUUCACUAUCACGUUUAAAUGACUUUAUCACAGAUGAUAUUAGAAAUGAAUGGAAUACAAAAUAGUAAUUUUCUUAGUUGCCAUAUCUGUCUUUGAUUUUCUAUCAGUUACAGGGUUAAUAAAAGCCUGAUCUAGUCCAUGAAAAUAAACACGAGAGGUGUCUUUCAGUAUAUUUCUUUUGGUGCCCAUUACAAUAGAUAUAGGAAGAUGUGGUAUGAGUGCCAACGAGACAACUCUCCAUCCAAAUAACAAUUUAUAAAAGUAAACCAUUAUAGGUCAAUGUACUACCUUCAACACGGAGCAUUGGCUCACACCGACCAACAAGCUAUAAAGGGCCCCGAUGUCUAUUUGUCUUGCAUCCUUUUUAGACUUGGUGAGCUUGUAAUAUUCCUUAACAAAUACAAAAC